AGCAGCCGCGGUAAUUCCAGCUCCAAUAGCGUAUAUUAAAGUUGCUGCAGUUAAAAAGCUCGUAGUUGAAUUUCGGGAUCGAUAUAUCGGUCGUGCCUCGGUACGUACUGGUAUUUUCGGUUUCUCCCUUCUGACGAACCUUGAUGUCAUUAAUUUGGUGUCUUGGGGAAUCAGGACUGUUACUUUGAAAAAAUUAGAGUGUUUAAAGCAGGCUCACGCUUGAAUACAUUAGCAUGGAAUAAUGAAAUAGGACGUUUGAUUCUAUUUUGUUGGUUUCUAGGAUCGACGUAAUGAUUAAUAGGGAUAGUUGGGGGCAUUAGUAUUCAAUUGUCAGAGGUGAAAUUCUUGGAUUUAUUGAAGACUAACUACUGCGAAAGCAUUUGCCAAGGAUGUUUUCAUUAAUCAAGAACGAAAGUUAGGGGAUCGAAGACGAUCAGAUACCGUCGUAGUCUUAACCAUAAACUAUGCCGACUAGGGAUCGGAUGAUGUUAAUUUUUUAAUGACUCAUUCGGCGCCUUAC
rnacentral:rRNA from 1 species